UGAGGCUGAUUUUAACUUGUAGGAAGACU
rnacentral:piRNA from 1 species